GAUGAACGCUGGCGGCGUGCUUAACACAUGCAAGUCGAACGAAGCACUUUAUUUGAUUUCCUUCGGGACUGAUUAUUUUGUGACUGAGUGGCGGACGGGUGAGUAACGCGUGGGUAACCUGCCUUGUACAGGGGGAUAAAAGUUGGAAACGGCUGCUAAUACCGCAUAAGCGCACGGCAUCGCAUGAUGCAGUGUGAAAAACUCCGGUGGUAUAAGAUGGACCCGCGUUGGAUUAGCUAGUUGGUGAGGUAACGGCCCACCAAGGCGACGAUCCAUAGCCGACCUGAGAGGGUGACCGGCCACAGUGGGACUGAGACACGGCCCAAACUCCUACGGGAGGCAGCAGUGGGGAAUAUUGCACAAUGGGCGAAAGCCUGAUGCAGCGACGCCGCGUGAGCGAAGAAGUAUUGCGGUAUGUAAAGCUCUAUCAGCAGGGAAGAUAAUGACGGUACCUGACUAAGAAGCACCGGCUAAGUACGUG
rnacentral:rRNA from 1 species